UAAUCUGCGGAUGCGGAACUGAUGUGAGC
rnacentral:piRNA from 1 species